AGCCCUGAGGUGUAUAACAUAUCAGAUUGCAAAUCUGAAGUUGCAGGCUAAACCCUGCUGGGGCUU
rnacentral:tRNA from 1 species